GAACAUCUCUCCACUUCCAAUAUCUCUUACAUGAGCUAGACACUCUAAUAUAUAUUAUAUUUCCUUCCCUGGUCACCAUUUAUCAUAGUCAAACUCGAUUCAUAGAUGCAAAUGUCAUUCACUCUCGACUAUUUUUGAAAGCUUUGGGCAUCUAUAAAGCCUUAAUAUUCCUCGCACAAUUCUAAAAAAAAAUCCUUCAAAUCCAUAGUUCGUCACAUAUGCCAACUAGGGUAUUCUCUAGUUCCCUAAUAUCAC
rnacentral:lncRNA from 1 species